GGAAGACCAAGGGUUCCUGUCCAACGUUAAUCGGGGCAGGGUGAGUCGGCCCCUAAGGCGAGGCUGAAAAGCGUAGUCGAUGGGAAACGGGUUAAUAUUCCCGUACUUGGAUAAACUGCGAUGUGGGGACGGAGCAGGUUAGGUUAUCGCACUGUUGGAUAUGUGCGUUUAAGUUGGUAGGUGAGAAGUUUAGGCAAAUCCGGACUUCUAUAACACUGAGAGAUGAUGACGAGGCUCUACGGAGCUGAAGUAACCGAUACCACACUUCCAGGAAAAGCCACUAAGCUUCAGGUUUAUCUAAACCGUACUGAAAACCGACACAGGUGGUCAGGUAGAGAAUACUCAGGCGCUUGAGAGAACUCGGGUGAAGGAACUAGGCAAAAUAGCACCGUAACUUCGGGAGAAGGUGCGCCGGCGUAGAUUGUAGUCCCUUGCGGGCGAAGGUUGAACCGGUCGAAGAUACCAGCUGGCUGCAACUGUUUAUUAAAAACACAGCACUCUGCAAACACGAAAGUGGACGUAUAGGGUGUGAUGCCUGCCCGGUGCUGGAAGGUUAAUUGAUGGUGUAAUCGAAAGAGAAGCUCCUGAUCGAAGCCCCAGUAAACGGCGGCCGUAACUAUAACGGUCCUAAGGUAGCGAAAUUCCUUGUCGGGUAAGUUCCGACCUGCACGAAUGGCAUAACGAUGGCCACACUGUCUCCUCCCGAGACUCAGUGAAGUUGAAAUGUUUGUGAUGAUGCAAUCUACCCGCGGCUAGACGGGAAGACCCCAUGAACCUUUACUGCAGCUUUGCAUUGAACUGUGAACCGAUUUGUGUAGGAUAGGUGGGAGGCAGAGAAGAGGCCACGCCAGUGGCCUUGGAGCCGACCUUGAAAUACCACCCUGAUUUGUUUGCGGUUCUAACCACGGACAGUGAUCCUGUCUUGGGACCGUGCAUGGUAGGCAGUUUGACUGGGGCGGUCUCCUCCUAAAGGGUAACGGAGGAGUACGAAGGUACGCUAGGUACGGUCGGAAAUCGUGCUGAUAGUGCAAUGGCAAAAGCGUGCUUGACUGCGAGAGCAACAACUCGAGCAGAUGCGAAAGCAGGUCAUAGUGAUCCGGUGGCUCUGAAUGGAAGGGCCAUCGCUCAACGGAUAAAAGGUACUCUGGGGAUAACAGGCUGAUACCGCCCAAGAGUUCAUAUCGACGGCGGUGUUUGGCACCUCGAUGUCGGCUCAUCUCAUCCUGGGGCUGUAGCCGGUCCCAAGGGUAUGGCUGUUCGCCAUUUAAAGAGGUACGUGAGCUGGGUUUAAAACGUCGUGAGACAGUUUGGUCCCUAUCUGCCGUGGGCGUUGGAAGAUUGACGGGGGCUGCUCCUAGUACGAGAGGACCGGAGUGGACGCACCUCUGGUGUACCGGUUGUCACGCCAGUGGCAUUGCCGGGUAGCUAAGUGCGGAAGAGAUAACCGCUGAAAGCAUCUAAGCGGGAAACUUGCCUGAAGAUGAGUCUUCCCGGAGGUUGAACCUCCCUCAAGAGUCGUCCGAGACCAGGACGUCGAUAGGUCAGGUGUGUAAGCGCUGUAAGGCGUUGAGCUAACUGAUACUAAUUGCUCGUGAGGCUUGAUC
rnacentral:rRNA from 1 species